rnacentral:lncRNA from 10 species
CUCCUGGGUUCAAAUGAUUCUCCUGCCUCAGCUUCCCGAGUAGCUGGGACUACAGGCGUGUGCCACCAUGCCCAGCUAAUUUUUGUAUUUUUAGUAAAGAUAGGGUUUCACCAUGUUGGCCAGGCUGGUCUGGAACUCCUGACCUCAGGUGAUCCACCUGCCUCCGCCUCCCAAAGUGCUAGGAUUACAGGCAUGAGUCACCACGCCUGGCCUAAUUUAAAAAUUUCAAGAUUUGAGAAACAACAUUAAUUUAGCCAUUUAACAGAAUACUGUUAGAAAGAUCAUUUAAAAAUAGUAUCUGUCUGGCUGAGUGCGGUGGCUCACACCUGUAAUCCCAGCACUUUGGGAGGCCGAGGUGGGCAGAAUACUUGAGGUCAGGAGUUCGAGACCAGCCUGGCCAACAUGGUAAAACACUGUCUUUACUAAAAAGAAAAAUACAAAAGUUAGCUGGGCACGGUGGCAGGCGCCUGUAAUCCCAG